rnacentral:rRNA from 1 species
GACGAACGCUGGCGGCGUGCCUAAUACAUGCAAGUAGGAUGCAGUUGCCAACGGCGGAGUAACGCGUCGGUAACUGCCUAUUAGAGUGGGAUAACUAUUGGACACUAUCGCUAAUACCGCUUACUAGUAGAUGGACCUGCGUUGUUUUAGCUAGUAGGUUGGGUAAUGGCCUACCUAGGCGACGUUACAUAGCCGACCUGGGAGGGUGAGAAGGCGUACUGGGACUGGGAAACGGCCCAGAUUCAUACGGGAGGAAGCAGUUGGGAAUCUUCGGGAAUGGGGGGAACACUGACCGCGCAACACCGCGUGGGUGAAGAAUGUUUUCGGAUCGUAAAGCUCUGUUGGUAAAGAAGCGGUACUUAAUCAGAAAGGGACAGCUAACUACAUGCCAGCAGCCGCGGUAAUAC